GCCGCGUAAGCGUAACCGCAUAAAAAGAGCGUCCGGGAAAAUCGAGAUUGAGUAAAACAAGGAAGGGCAUUAUCGUCAACGAAUAUGAACGGCCACAAAAUUUCCGAGAAAAUACUAAAAACAAGGCACGCUAAAAAAUAAACCAAUAAAACAAGGGCAAAACAGUCAUUCCAGACAUCCACGUGUCGUGACCUAAACCACUCCGUCUAUGCCUAUAUAAACACCUCGCUAGGCUCAGCAAACCUCACGAAAAAAUCAAAAACACCCAGAAGUCUUUGCAACCAAAGAAAACACAACUUCUCUCUAAAUUUCUUGUGGUUCAGUUUCAAAUUAGGGUUUCGUUUAUAUUGUUCUCGCAUUUUUUUUAAAUCUUAAUUAAUCGGGUUUCGGAAAAAGAUUACCGGAGGAGCAUCCAGAUUUUUGCUACGCUUUUAAGAAUUUGUUG